rnacentral:tRNA from 1 species
GGUUUGCUGGUAUAACGGUAAUUACAUCGGACUGUCGCUCCGAUAAUCAGAGUUCGACUCUCUGGCAGACCG